rnacentral:rRNA from 1 species
ACUCCUACGGGAGGCAGCAGUGGGGAAUAUUGCACAAUGGGGGAAACCCUGAUGCAGCCAUGCCGCGUGUGUGAAGAAGGCCUUCGGGUUGUAAAGCACUUUCAGUAGGGAGGAAGGUAGUGUAGUUAACACCUGCAUUAUUUGACGUUACCUACAGAAGAAGCACCGGCUAACUCCGUGCCAGCAGCCGCGGUAAUACGGAGGGUGCGAGCGUUAAAUCGGAAUUACUGGGCGUAAAGCGCAUGCAGGCGGCCUGUUAAGUCAGAUGUGAAAGCCCGGGGCUUAACCUCGGAAAUUGCAUUUGAAACUGGCAGGCUAGAGUCUUGUAGAGGGGGUAGAAUUUCAGGUGUAGAGGUGAAAU